rnacentral:rRNA from 1 species
CCUACGGGAGGCAGCAGUGGGGAAUAUUGCACAAUGGGGGAAACCCUGAUGCAGCGACGCCGCGUGAGUGAAGAAGUAAUUCGUUAUGUAAAGCUCUAUCAGCAGGGAAGAAAAUGACGGUACCUGAGUAAGAAGCCCCGGCUAACUACGUGCCAGCAGCCGCGGUAAUACGUAGGGGGCAAGCGUUAUCCGGAUUUACUGGGUGUAAAGGGAGCGUAGACGGCAGUGCAAGUCUGGAGUGAAAGGCGGGGGCUCAACCCCCGGACUGCUCUGGAAACUGUACGGCUGGAGUGCAGGAGAGGAAAGUGGAAUUCCUAGUGUAGCGGUGAAAUGCGUAGAUAUUAGGAGGAACAUCAGUGGCGAAGGCGGCUUACUGGACUGUAACUGACGUUGAGGCGCGAAAGCGUGGGUAGCAAACAGGAUUAGAUACCCCUGUAGUC